rnacentral:rRNA from 1 species
GACGAACGCUGGCGGCGUGCUUAACACAUGCAAGUCGAACGGAAAGGCCCUGCUUUUGUGGGGUGCUCGAGUGGCGAACGGGUGAGUAACACGUGAGUAACCUGCCCUUGACUUUGGGAUAACUUCAGGAAACUGGGGCUAAUACCGGAUAGGAGCUCCUGCUGCAUGGUGGGGGUUGGAAAGUUUCGGCGGUUGGGGAUGGACUCGCGGCUUAUCAGCUUGUUGGUGGGGUAGUGGCUUACCAAGGCUUUGACGGGUAGCCGGCCUGAGAGGGUGACCGGCAACAUGGGGACUGAGAUACGGCCCAGACUCCUACGGGAGGCAGCAGGGGGGAAUAUUGCACAAUGGGCGGAAGCCUGAUGCAGCAACGCCGCGUGCGGGAUGACGGCCUUCGGGUUGUAAACCGCUUUCGCCUGUGACGAAGCGUGAGUGACGGUAAUGGGUAAAGAAGCACCGGCGAACUACGU